AUUAAAAUUAUAUUUUGUUUAUAUAUCAGUCCGACGUGUACGUCUUACUUCCUGGCUUGUUUAACGCGUUUGUAUUUUAAUUUCAUAAGUAUUCUUAACGUACUGUUCAUCGUAUGACCAAUCAGUGCACAUGUGUAACUGAAAAAUAAUUGCCAUCAAUUCAUCGUAGUUGUAAAUUCACCGUACGGGUGAACGCUGUUAGUCGGACCCCGUUAAUUGAUCGGCAUCUUAUUAUAUUUGUGAUUUCUGUGUGUUCAUGCAGAACCUGCUCUGUGAUGAACAUAAUAUUUUCAUACCUCUAUAUUUUGAAUAAGAAUAUGACCGUGCUUAGAAUCGCGGAGAAAAUUGGACAAGUCAAGACUAACUUGUCAGUAAACUAUAUAUGGCUCUAUCAUAUUUAGUUUGGCAAAAUCAUCAGUACUUGUAAAUAAAUUAUAGUUAAAGACAAAAUCUGAUACAUAUGUCUCAUUAGAAUUGGUUUAAUUUCAUUAGACAUUUGUAAACAAACGGUCGGCCAUUUUUUUUUGUUAAUCACGUGUUACAAAUACAAUUGUAACAAACACACGCCAAUACUUUGUCGUAUUUAACCAGGAAACACUGACUCCGACAGUCCUUAUUUAAAAUAAAUAUACAUGUAAAGGGUAUACUAUUCGGAAAAAAUGAUAAUUUUGAUUAAAUAUUAUUCAUUUUAAACUAUCCCAAGAUGCACUUUUCCAAGAUUUAGUGGGUUCUGAUUGGUCAGUAUUGGCGCACUUUAUGAUUCCGAGCGAAGGUUAAAAUGGACAAGUAGGUGCUGUUGUAAAAUGGAGAAUUGAGAAGCAUUAAUAGCCUCUACAACAAGGAGAUAAUGCAGGAACGAAGAACUCAUGUCAAGCAUUGACAGCAUACAAAGACAAUGUUUCCGGUGAUUAGUUGCAUCCUCUGUUCGGUGAUUCGGGUGAAUGUUUUGACCAGCUGGACGAUGUGAACGCAAGAUAAAUAGAACAGACAUAAAGUACAGCCCAGUGAAAGGAACAAGUACAUCGCAAGAAGAAGAAUUGUAAUGCUACCUCUGUCCAGAACUACUAAGUCUGCUGUAACCAUGAUGUGAUCAUAUGAGUGCUUCACCGGUCUGGACAAUGCUCGAAAAUCCCCCCAAAAGGCCUAUUUCCAUAAACUACGACUCAGGUUACAUCAACAACAGCCAAGGACACUCCUUAUUGAUUCGAAUGGACACAUCUCUACGACCCGACUAAACCUCUGCAGAACAAGACAUUUUAGCUGUAAAGUAUUUUCAUUUUAAAAAACCUAUAAACUAUAAAAGUCCUUUUUUUAUAUGAUCAAAUCAAAUACCAGUAUAUUACAAUGUCUGUCUGUAAGCUAGAAUCUUAGAAAAUCACAUGGUUUUGACUUAUUAAAUGAUCGAUUAGACCUUGCAGAUAUUAACUUUCAUUUUCUUAAAUAAUUUGUUAUAUUUGCAAAUGUUGCAUAAAAUAUUAGACUCCAUGUAACAUAUAUCCUCACACCUCCAAGUUGAUAAGUGUUAACUACUUUUUUCCAAUUUCUUUGUUUAAACAUUUAUUGAUAACUUUAAAUAGUUUUUAUUUGCAGCAAUAUAUGAACAAUUAAGAAACCAAUGUAAAAACACUGCAUUAGGAGAUGAAUGCAUGGGUCAUAGAAAUGAUAAAUUACACCAAACAAUAUUCAAUUAUGUCGUAUAUGAAAAUAAAUAAAGACAACAUAUACCUCAAGUAUUACAAUUUUUAUAUAACAAAAUUACUUGCAUGGAAAGUUGUUUCCAUGUGGGUUUUAUUUUAAUGUGUGUUAUGUAACUAAUAUUGGAAUUAGCUUUUAUAUCAUAAGAAAAAUGCUGGUAUUGAUGAGAAUUGUAAGGUGAAUGAUCUGUGUGAUACUUUGUACUUUAUACAUUCAUGCUACAAAAAGCAAGUACAUGUACAUGUAGUAAUACUUGACAUAUAUAAACAAUGUCUAUUUUACUUCAUGUCUUGGAUUUAAAAAUAUUAAUGUAGGUAAAGUAGUGAAAUGUAGGAAGGUAAACCGUGUGUAAAGAAGAUUAUUCAUCAGGAAUGAAGUGUGAUGCAAUCAGCAUAAUAAUUAAAUGUGUACAUCAUAUUUUUGCACAUGAUUUGACAGACUGCUCCAUUGUUAGCUUUUUGUUGGCCAACAAGCUUUUCAUAUCUCUCUCUGGGUCAUCUAUUAAAUACUGACAGGCUUAUGAUAUUAAAAUCUGAUCAGUUGGUACAUCAUGGGUGGAAAUGAGAAGUUCACUUUGGACUUAAUGGAUUAUCAAAAAAAAUGAUAUCAAAUCCUGUUCUAUUGUAAAACAUUAGAUUAUAUUACUAACAAAGAAAAGGUUUAUCCCAACUUGUAAGUGGGUCACUUUGACCUCAUUUUGGAAUUUAUUGACAUACAUAUUCAAAUCAAAUCUGGGCCAUACCUCUAUAGUCAACUACUAUCUUGUAGUGUAUUUUUUUUUAAAAGAUGGAUACUUUAGACUUUUCAAAAAUAUUUCAUGGUGUACAUAUUCAUUGUAGUUCAAAACAAAUUGAGACAAGUGUAUCAUGUUCAUGUAACAGUGAAGUUUUCUUUGUUUAUUCAUGUACGUGCAAUUAUUUUGUAAAUUGCAUUCAUAUUUUUUAAAAAGUAAGAUCUUUGUUGCAUUUUUAAAGGGAGAUUUGAUAGGCAUUUAAUCGAGAUAAAAAAAUACAAAUGUAAAGAUUUCUAUGGGAGUUUUUUUUUCUUGUUUAAUUUUAUCAUUUUUUAAAUAAAAGUCACUAAUAAUGGAAUUGCCAUAUGGAUGUUUCUCCAUUAUUGUAUCUUGGCUGUAUUUUAUUCAUUAUUGGAAACAAUUUCAGAUUUUUGAACAAAAUAAAUUUGGAACUGUUUGAAAUUGUUUUGUUUUUACAUAAAGUAGAAACCUUGCUCAGCUUUUGUGAAAGCAAAAAAUAUAAAAAGUUUCAGUAAGUUUCAGUUGCAGAAACCCUUUGUAAACAAUAUGUAUCCCAAUUGUAUAUGGAGGUUGAAACUAUGCAGAAACUUCAAGUUUCAGUAAGUUUCCGUCACGGAAACCAUUUGUAAACAACAUGUAUCCCAAACGUAUAUGGAGAUUGAAACUAUGCAGAAACUUCAAGUUUCAGUAAGUUUCCGUUGCGGAAACCAUUUGGAUUCAUGGACAGCCUAAGUUUCAGCACUGCGGAAACUUAACGAAACUUGAAGUUUCUGUGCUGAAACCUGUCGGAAACUUAAAGUAACCUUAAGUUUCCGCAGAGUUUCCAAAGGGUUUCCGCAGCGCUGAAACCAGAUAUUUCAUCCAGUGAAACGUUGCUUAUAAAAUAGGUUCUGGAUGUAUUGCCCAGAGAAUUAAAAAUAUGCUUGAUACUAUUAUUAGUCCUGAUCAAACAGGUUUCAUACCAGGAAGAUAUAUUGGUGAAAUUCUAGACUGAUAUAUGAUCUUAUGCAAUAUACAGAGACAAAAAACAUCCCUGGUGUAUUGUUAAUGAUUGAUUUUCAAAAAGCCUUUGAUACUGUUUUCUGGACAUUUACUCACAAAUGUUUAGAUUUUUUAAACUUUAGAGUAUCCAUUCAAUCUUGGACAUCUACUUUUCAAUGUAAUAUAGAAUUAUCGGUCACACAAGCUGGAUAUCUUUCAAAAUUUUUCAAACCAAUCAGAGGAUGUCGCCAAGGCGAUCUGAUCUCCCCCUAUUUAUUCCUACUUUGUGCAGAAAUUUUGGCCUAUAAGAUAAAAAGUAAUAAGAAUAUACAAGAUAUAGUAGUAGAUGAUACUGAAUAUCUGAUAUCUCAAUAUGCUGACGACACUGUAUUAAUUUAAAAUGGCUCAGAAAAAUCCCUCAGAACAACUAUUGAUGAAUUGAAUAAUUUUAAUACAAUCUCUGGACUCAAGAUUAAUUUAUCAAAAACACAAUUAGUCUGGAUAGGCAGCAAAAAAUAUUCUACUGAAAAACUAUGUCAUGAAAUGAAUUUUUCAUUGGACAACACAAUUUAAAUUACUAGGCAUCCAAUUUGACGUAGAUCUAACAAAUAUUUCAAAACUCAAUUAUGAUAAAAAGUUUAUUAAAAUUAAAGAAAUCAUCAAUCAGUGGAACAAAAGACAUACAACUCCUAUUGGUAGGAUUACUUUGGACAUAGUGCUGAAGACUGGGUCAGACUUCAUAUCCUGUAUAUUAACUUAUUUAGUUAGAAACUCCUUUUGGAAGGAUACAUUUAUUGCUUUUAAAAAUAUACAUGAUAGAAUGAAAUUACUCACAUGGCAUGAAUUUAUUACACAACCAAUAUGGUACAAUAAGAACAUUACAAUGGGGGGGAUCAAUUUUCUUUUUUGAUUGGUUUAAUAAGAAUAUUGUUUAUAUCAAUGAUAUCUAUGAUAUGCUGGAUGAAAAUGGGUCCUUUUUAAGUUUACAAGACCUUCAAAGUAAGUUUGAUAUCACGUCAAACGUCCUUACUUAUCUUGGUUUACAGAAAUCUAUUUUAACUAGUUUACAUUAUCAUGGAAUCUCCCGAGGCCUUUUAUCCCUUUCCACAUUAAUAUACAAUUAUUUAAUGCUUGAGCAGUCAAUAGACCCGAAUAUUUUCCCGAGGUGCAGGGAACAGCUCAGUAUGAUCUAUUGCCCGAGGCCAACGACAUGAGUCUGAUCUAUUAAAAGAACCGCUAUGGUGUAAUAAAAUUUUUGUGUUAAAAAACAAACCAGUAUUUUCUAAAGAGUGGUUAAAAAGUGGUAUUAAGUACUUAAACGAUAUUGUAAACGAAAAUGGUUUGAAACCUGCAGAAUGGUUUAGUAACCAUCUUGUCUGUAAAAGAAACUGGAUAUGUGAAUAUGUAAUUAUAAAAACGAUCUUUUCAAAUGUUUUCAAAAAUAUGUUCAGAUAUUCAAUAUGAAAACAUUGUAUUCGGAAAAACGUCUUUUGAACUGUGUUUUAAAAACCAUGUAUACAUCUGUGAUAUUAAUUCAAAGCUAAUUUAUGACAUUUUUCGUCAAAAACAAUUUGUAGCACCAUUACAUCAACUUUACUACAAAAAUGUUUUUGAAAUUUCCAAGGAAUCAUGGAAAUCUAUUUAUGAACAAAAAAUCCUAGCCAUUAAAGACAAAAAAAUAUCUGACUUUAAUUACAGACUACUAAACAAUUUAUUAUGUAAUAGAGAAAUGAUGAAAAGAUGGAAAAUUGUUGGAAAUGAUAUGUGUAUCUUUUGUAAAGAUGUAAAGGAAAACAACGAACAUCUCAUUCUGAAAUGUAAGAAUAUAAGUCAAAUAUGGGACACUGUUCAAAAAUGUUUAAAUUUUGAUGUAUCAUGGAAAACAGUAGUUAUAGGUUUUUAUUUUGAAAAAAAUGAGAAAACACUAUUUCUUAACAGUUUGAUUUCUUUGAUUGCCUGUAAGAUAUAUAAGUAUAAAGUGUAUUGUAGAAUUGAAAACAAAGAGGAAAAACCUCAAGAAAUAUGUAAUCAUAUAAAAUAUGUACCAACUUUUUUCUCUGAGGUCUUCAAAUCGUUGUCACAAAGGAGUUUUGCAACCCUUUUAAAACGUAUUAGAAGCAGUUUAUAAUUCAUAUAAUAGGAUACAUAAUUUAUUUUUAUUUUAUAUAUAUUUAUAUAUCUUCUCUUUAUCUGUUUUGUUAGACAAAUAGGUGCCAACAGGUCCACAUACCAGGUGUGGUCGCUGUUUUGGUAACAUGGGGCAUUAGAGACUUGUAGUUAGUGGAUUGUGGCCCUUCAUGUUAGCAUAGGCAAUAUCUUAUUGUACUAAAAAUGAAAUAUAAAUGUAUGUUUGAACAAUUCUGAAAACUUUUUUCAUUACCUUUUUGUCAAUCAUUUUUUAUGGGUUUUUUGGGUUUUUUUUUUCAAAUAUCUUUUUUUUUUACUUAUAAGACUAAUGUCGAAUAUUGUGUAUGAAAAUGUGCAUAUCUACUUAUAUUUAAAGAUCCUAUACAUCUAUGUUGAAAAAUUAUGUAGUAAGUACUUAUGCUAUUGUAUUAAGAACAAAUGUAAAUAAACAAUAAAAAAAAAAAAAAAAAAAAAAAAAAAAAAAAAAAAAAAAAAAAAAAAAAAAAAAAAACA